ACCUCGGGAGCUUAUACAGGUGUUGCAUGGCUGUCGUCAGCUCGUGUCGUGAGAUGUUCGGUUAAGUCCGCUAACGAGCGCAACCCUCGUCGUAUGUUAUAUGUGUCAUACGAGACUGCCGGUAAAAGCCGGAGGAAGGUGAGGAUGAUGUCAAGUCAGCAUGACCUUUAUAUCCAGGGCUACACACACGCUACAAUGGUCUGUACAAUGGGUAGCCAAGCCGCGAGGCGGAGCCAAUCCUGAAAGCAGGCCUCAGUUCAGAUUGCAGUCUGCAACUCGACUGCAUGAAGCCGGAGUUGCUAGUAACCGCAGGUCAGCAAUACUGCGGUGAAUACGUUCCCGGGUCUU
rnacentral:rRNA from 1 species